GUUGAUGAGGGUUAGCUAGGGGAACUGGAGAGCUGUAACCACUGGCCAGGGAAAUGAGAGAGAUGUUAUUAUCAAACCUCUAACGUAACUCUGAUUAGCUUAGACUCCAACUAUAAUCAUAAUCACCCAAACACCCUCCACCCCCCAUCUCUCGAUAUUAACCUGAGCAAUCAAAAUUAGCUUGGUUAUCUUAGUCACUGGCUGUUUCACGCCUGGGAGCUUCCCCGGCCUGCCCAGUACUCUGCCUGUAAGACGCCACAUUCCCUGGGGCCGUGGAAAUGUGCUAAUGAAGACGGUGGUGGAAAUAGUGAAUUACCCUGUGAUAUCUGUAUAUAGCUUAUAUCGCUGCAGGCUCCAUCAUUAAAUGGCUAACAAUCAGUGGAGCAAAGCAGGCCUUUGAUCUGAUUGAUAGGAUGGAGGCCAAUGGGCCAUAUGAUAGGAUAGUCAUCAGUACUAGCAUUGCAGUAGCACGUUGACAUUUCUUUGUGUAAUGAUACCAUUAAGUCAAUUACAUUCACAUUACCUUUCACUUCAACCAUGACUAAAAUAAAGCCCCCUGCAACAACGGUAACUUUUAUUGGCCGUCUUGGACCUAUGCGAUCUCCAUGACUCCAGAUCCAGCUAGCUGUAUGAACUACGGUGAAGAUGAACAGGUUGGCUGUGAUGCAGCAGGGGUCUCCACAGAGGCAGAUGCUUAGCAACCACCUGCUGCUUGAUUAUGGGUUAAGUCAGACCCAAGGAUAUCCGGCAAUGGGAGAAAGAGGCAUAGCAUCCUGUGGGGGUGGGGCUUACUGAUGGUAAACAUGGUCCCCCACGGCCGGCAUGUCUGCCACGCCCACGCCGAGGACCCUGGGGACGACCGAGAGGAGCGCAUCCUGGCCGUGCUCGGGAUCAUCGGGACCGUGCUCAACCUGCUGGUGGUCAUCUUCGUCUACAUAUACACCACUAUCUGACCACUACCACCGCAACGAUCCAACCAGUACUGGACCACGGUCCAGGCUGACACAUCACCAAGGGAGAGGGGAACGCAGCGCAGCGACAGGGAGAAAAUGGAGGUGGACCAAGAAGGAGUAGGACCAAGCCUGUCAAGACCACCAGUGUUAUCAAGUUUUGACCCCAAAAAAAUCAAAGCCGUGCCUGACCAUAUCGCUAUCCUUUCCAUCUUUAGGCCCGGGAGGGUGAGGAAGAGCAGGUUUAUUCAUGAACAUGGCCUUUUUGAUAUCAGAAACAUGGGAAACCUCCACCAUUUCUUCGAUGACAAGGCUAUUGUUUUGUACAGACUCUCUCACAUGCAUUAUUUGUAGAUGUUUAGAUAAAUUUGCCCUGUUUGAUUAUUCAUUCGACACAUAUUUACCCAACUAUUCUUUUUUGUUGGCCUUUUUGUUCUGAAUUCACACUUUAUUGUUCGCUGGUGUUGACAUUUGUCAAGAAGCACAAAGACCCUGCCCGUUGAGGAAGUGAUGGAGAAUUUUAUCCUGGUCAAAAAGGCAUUGUCACCUGGACCACAUUCCAAUGCUGAAGGAUAUGACAUUCACCCUCACAUAGUGAAAAAGAGAGGCCAUUCACUGAGACCCCAAUGUCACUGCACUGUACGAAGAGCAGGCCUCAAUAUUCAUUUCAUCCUCAAUAUAGUAUUUUCUACUAACAAGCUCCAACCUGAGACAAUGUGAUACCAAGAGAAUAUCCUUGGAGCUCUUGUUUCAUACACCUGUUUGAAAACUCCUGUUUCCACACAUUUUAUCUUGUGAUUUAUAAGUGUUAACUACAAUAACAAAAGAGACCGAUAAGAGUCAAAACUCAUUUGUAUAAUUAUUAUCAAUUGACGAUCAUUAUAUUUCCCCACAUUCAUGUAUGACUUUGUAAUUAAUUAGGUUUUAAUAUUGGAAUGUAAUACACAUUCACAGAACCCCCCUCCCAUUCCCGCUGUAGCCAACAUGCCAUUUUCAACUGAACAGCUGAAUAUGGCUUGUCACUGCACUAGUUGAAGCAAAAUAUUGGGUUUCCAUUCAUAAUCGAUGUCCGAGUAUUUAACCGGUAGGGUGUCAGAUGUUUGCUUUGAGAUACUGCUGUGAUAUGUAGCACGUGCAUUACCUGUUCACCUCAAUGAGUUUCACUCAUACACGUGUUGUUUUUGCCCCAAUUGCCAACCUUGCUGCGAAACCACAUCUCAAGUCAAUCUCCAGUGCUUCCAGAAGAGUUCAUUACUUGAACAAGAACACAGACCCACACUCCUCACCUUGAAAAAACACUUGCCUUACUGAUGUCAUCGAAGAGACACUAGCUGUAAUGGAAAUGCUUCCUGAUGCUUUUUUAUUUUUAACACAAUCACUUAUAUUGGUAUAAUGACAUGGUUCCUGUUCACUAUGCCGUCCACAGUGAAGUGAAUCGGAGUGAAUAGUAAUGGGGAUAGACAGAGUGGACUCUCUAUUGCCAGAUAUACUUACCAAAACCACCCAAUACUGUGGCGUGUUUGUGCUGAUUGUUGUCUAGACCAGUGUUUCCCAACUCCGGUCCUCGAGUAGGCUACCCCCCCAACGGCACACAUUUUUGUUGUAGCCCCAGACAUAACGCACGAUUCAACUUGCCAGGGCCUUGAUUAUUUGACAAGUAGAAUCAGGUGUACUUCAAAAAUAUGUACUGUCGGGUGGUACUCGAGAACCGGAGUUGGGAAACGCUGGUCUAGGCUGUAGUGCAUGGUGAUGUAUACUAAAUGAUACAGUACAACACACAGCUGUACUGUGUCCUAUAUCAUAAAGACAUUGACUGUAAGCAUGCUAAACAUUCCCGAAACACUGUUAACACACAGCUAACCAUUGAAUAACAAUGUUUAAACAAACAAGUAUAUUUUUUUAUAGUGCAACACACCACUAGAAAAAAUAUUGGAGUUGACCAUCCUUUCUAGUUAGCUGCAGUGCAGGGCUUUGUGCCAUUAUAGAGCUUUUGCUUUGGACCAGACGAGAAGUGACCAGGGACCAAUGGGAGGGAAGAGCCUGGAGCAGACUCAAGACCAUCUGCUGUCCCUGUGGACAAUGGCACCUCCUCAACCCAGAACAGAGCCAGAGCCAGAAUGGCUUCCUUCUCCCUCUCAUCACUCCACCACUUAAACUGAACUGACAGGAGGACUUAAAUUCAGGGACUUGUGGGUAAAAUGUAACCUCAGAAUGUGAGUUUUUACAAUGUGUCCUCAAUGCCCUGUGUGUACUCAGACUUUUUCAGCACCCGUCAUUUUACCAGUUUGUGUACAGUAUUAGGGUAGAGAAAUCACUUAGUUUGUACACUAUGAAAAUGCAUCUUUUUUAUUAAAAUCCAAAUUAGCUUUUGUUUUAUUUCACAUUGGUGUGAUGCAGCACCUGAUAUUUGUCCACAGGGUAUGUUUCAUUGAAUUAGAUAUUUCGUCUAUACAAUGGGUUUUAUUUUGUUUCCUAAAUUUUAACUAUGACCAUCCAACUUUAGUCAUGAUGUAUGAGGGACCUGCAUUUUGGAACUAAAGGGAAUCUUUUGUGGAGGAUUCAGAUGUGUCUGAAGAUGAACAUUUUUCACCCCUCUUUUUAAUUAUUUUCAAGUUAUGAAAUAUUGAAAAACUGAAAUAUUGCUAGUUCUAUAGAAACAAUUAAAACUCAACUUUUGCCAGAGUUAUAAAUCAUGUUAAUGUUUAAAAGAGGAGAAUGGGGCAUUACAGUCCUGCAUUUCAUCUGGAUUUCUAUGCAGUUGUCUGACUCUUUAUAUCAGUGUUUGGAAAUGUUUGCAAAAUUGUGUUAUAUUUCAUGUAUUGUUUAUAUUAUAUUGAGUAUUCAAAUAAAAAUGGAAAAUGGUACCACUUCGCAAAAUGUUAUUAAGUCCAAAGCAAAGGCCAUGUUUGCAGCAUAAUCAACAGGACAAGUAUACCAUACACACUGUGCAUUCCGAAAGUAUUCUGACCCCUU